UACAGAGGGGGCAAGCGUUUGUUCGGAAUUACUGGGCGUAAAGGGCGCGUAGGCGGCCUUCUAAGUCGAACGUGAAAUCCCUGGGCUCAACCCAGGAACUGCGUCCGAUACUGAAAGGCUUGAAUCCGGGAGAGGGAUGCGGAAUUCCAGGUGUAGCGGUGAAAUGCGUAGAUAUCUGGAGGAACACCGGUGGCGAAGGCGGCAUCCUGGACCGGUAUUGACGCUGAGGCGCGAAAGCCAGGGGAGCAAACGGG
rnacentral:rRNA from 1 species